rnacentral:rRNA from 1 species
UACGUAGGGUGCAAGCGUUAAUCGGAAUUACUGGGCGUAAAGCGUGCGCAGGCGGUUCGUUAAGACAGAUGUGAAAUCCCCGGGCUUAACCUGGGAACUGCAUUUGUGACUGGCGAGCUAGAGUAUGGCAGAGGGGGGUAGAAUUCCACGUGUAGCAGUGAAAUGCGUAGAGAUGUGGAGGAAUACCGAUGGCGAAGGCAGCCCCCUGGGCCAAUACUG